UACGGGGGGAGCAAGCGUUGUUCGGAUUUACUGGGCGUAAAGGGCGCGUAGGCGGCGCAACAAGUCACUUGUGAAAUCUCCGGGCUUAACCCGGAGCGGCCAAGUGAUACUGUCGUGCUAGAGUGCGGAAGGGGCUACUGGAAUUCUCGGUGUAGCGGUGAAAUGCGUAGAUAUCGAGAGGAACACCUGCGGCGAAGGCGGGUAGCUGGGCCGACACUGACGCUGAUGCACGAAAGCCAGGGGAGCGAACGGG
rnacentral:rRNA from 1 species